rnacentral:rRNA from 1 species
GACGAACGCUGGCGGCGUGCUUAACACAUGCAAGUCGAACGGUGAAGCGCCUUCCUUUUUGGUGGGUGUGGAUGAGUGGCGAACGGGUGAGUAACACGUGAGUAACCUGCCCCCUUCUUCUGGAUAACCGCAUGAAAGUGUGGCUAAUACGGGAUAUUCUGUGUCUGUCGCAUGAUGGGUCUGGGAAAGAUAUUGUUUCGGUGGGGGAUGGGCUCGCGGCCUAUCAGCUUGUUGGUGGGGUGAUGGCCUACCAAGGCGGUGACGGGUAGCCGGCCUGAGAGGGUGGACGGUCACACUGGGACUGAGACACGGACCAGACUCCUACGGGAGGCAGCAGUGGGGAAUAUUGCACAAUGGGCGCAAGCCUGAUGCAGCGACGCCGCGUGAGGGAUGGAGGCCUUCGGGUUGUGAACCUCUUUCGCCAGUGAAGCAGGCCUGCCUCGUUUGUGGGUGGGUUGACGGUAGCUGGAUAAGAAGCGCCGGCUAACUACGUG